GGAAAUGUAGCGAAGAUGGAAAACGCGAUGGUCUGCAUAGCAGCCAUUCCCCAGCGGUUCGUAGGUUCGAUUCCUACCAUUUCCA
rnacentral:tRNA from 1 species